AACGAACGCUGGCGGCAUGCCUAACACAUGCAAGUCGAACGAGACCUUCGGGUCUAUUGGCGCACGGGUGCGUAACGCGUGGGAACCUGCCCUUAGGUUCGGAAUAACUCCCCGAAAGGGGUGCUAAUACCGGAUAAUGUCUUCGGACCAAAGAUUUAUCGCCUUUGGAUGGGCCCGCGUUGGAUUAGCUAGUUGGUAGGGUAAAAGCCUACCAAGGCGACGAUCCAUAGCUGGUUUGAGAGGAUGAUCAGCCACACUGGGACUGAGACACGGCCCAGACUCCUACGGGAAGCAGCAGUGGGGAAUAUUGGACAAUGGGCGAAAGCCUGAUCCAGCAAUGCCGCGUGAGUGAUGAAGGCCUUAGGGUUGUAAAGCUCUUUUACCCGGGAUGAUAAUGACAGUACCGGGAGAAUAAGCUCCGGCUAACUCCGUG
rnacentral:rRNA from 1 species